UACGUAGGGGGCUAGCGUUGUCCGGAAUCAUUGGGCGUAAAGAGCGCGUAGGCGGCCCGGUAAGUCCGCUGUGAAAGUCAAAGGCUCAACCUUUGAAUGUCAGCGGAUACUGCCGGGCUAGAGUCCGGAAGAGGCGAGUGGAACUCCUGGUGUAGCGGUGGAAUGCGCAGAUAUCAGGAAGAACACCAACGGCGAAGGCAGCUCGCUGGGACGGUACUGACGCUGAGACGCGAAAGCGUGGGGAGCGAACAGG
rnacentral:rRNA from 1 species